GAUGAAGAACGCAGCGAAAUGCGAUAAGUAAUGCGAAUUGCAGAUUUCCAGUGAGUCAUCGAAUCUUUGAACGCACAUUGCGCCCUUUGGUAUUCCGAAGGGCAUGCCUGUUCGAGCGUCAUUAUCACCCCUCAAGCCCUCGGCUUGGUGUUGGACGGUUUGGUGGAGGCCCCCUCGGGGGCUCCUGCCCCUCCCAAAGACAAUGACGGCGGCCUCGUUGGACCCCCGGUACACUGAGUUCUUCACGGGACACGUAUCGGACACAUGGGUUUACGGGACACGGUCUGCCUCCCCUCAGGGAGAAUCUUUCUAAGGUUGACCUCGGAUCAGGUAGGGAUACCCGCUGAACUUAAGCAUAUCAAUAAGCGGAGGA
rnacentral:misc_RNA from 1 species